AACCCAUGAUGAGGGCACCUUCUCAAAAGAUCAUUAAAUCUCUCUCAUGCAUCAUAUAAUGUCUCCAAAUUAAUUUGAGCAAAAGACGAGAUGUCGUUCCUCAAAUU
rfam:Gossypium hirsutum cultivar TM-1 chromosome 3, whole genome shotgun sequence